rnacentral:rRNA from 1 species
UACGAAGGGGCUAGCGUUGUUCGGAAUUACUGGGCGUAAAGCGCACGUAGGCGGAUACUUAAGUCAGGGGUGAAAUCCCGGGGCUCAACCCCGGAACUGCCUUUGAUACUGGGUAUCUCGAGUCCGGAAGAGGUGAGUGGAAUUCCGAGUGUAGAGGUGAAAUUCGUAGAGAUCGGCAGGAACAUCCAGGGGAAACCAGUGGACUGGGCAGGAGCUGACGCUCAGGUGCGAAAGCGUGGGGAGCGAA